GCCGAGCAUGGUGGUGCAUGCCUGUAGUCCCAGCUACUUGCGAAGCUGAGGCAAGAGGAUCACUUGAGCCCAGGAGGUCCAGGCUGCAGUGAGCUACGUUCAUGCCACUGCACUCCAGCCUGGGCAACAAAGUGAGAUCCUGUCUCAA
rnacentral:SRP_RNA from 1 species